rnacentral:rRNA from 1 species
GUGAAGCGGCAACAGCUCAAAUUUGAAAUCUGGCCCCCCAGGGCCCGAGUUGUAAUUUGCAGAGGAUGCUUUUGGCGCGGUGCCUUCCGAGUUCCCUGGAACGGGACGCCAUAGAGGGUGAGAGCCCCGUCUGGUCGGACGCCUAGCCUGUGUAAAGCUCCUUCGACGAGUCGAGUAGUUUGGGAAUGCUGCUCUAAAUGGGAGGUAUAUGUCUUCUAAAGCUAAAUACCGGCCAGAGACCGAUAGCGCACAAGUAGAGUGAUCGAAAGAUGAAAAGCACUUUGAAAAGAGGGUUAAAUAGUACGUGAAAUUGUUGAAAGGGAAGCGCUUGUGACCAGACUUGGGCCCGGUGGAUCAUCCAGCGUUCUCGCUGGUGCACUCCGCCGGGUUCAGGCCAGCAUCAGUUCGCCGCGGGGGAAAAAGGCUUCGGGAACGUGGCUCCUACGGGAGUGUUAUAGCCCGUUGCAUAAUACCCUGGGGCGGACUGAGGUUCGCGCUCCGCAAGGAUGCUGGCGUAAUGGUCAUCAGCGACCCGUCUUGAAACACGGACCAAGGAGUCGUCUUCGUAUGCGAGUGUUCGGGUGUAAAACCCCUACGCGUAAUGAAAGUGAACGCAGGUGAGAGCUUCGGCGCAUCAUCGACCGAUCCUGAUGUUCUCGGAAGGAUUUGAGUAAGAGCAUACGGGGCCGGACCCGAAAGAAGGUGAACUAUGCCUGUAUAGGGUGAAGCCAGAGGAAACUCUGGUGGAGGCUCGCAGCGGUUCUGACGUGCAAAUCGAUCGUCAAAUAUGG